GACGAACCGUGCGAACGUUAUUCGGAAUCACUGGGCUUAAAGCGCGUGUAGGUGGGGCGGCACGUCGGUCGCUGAAAUCCCCCGGCUUAACCGGGGAACGGGCGCCGAUACGACCGCCCUUGAGGGGCGUAGGGGGGGCUGGAACUUCCGGUGGAGCGGUGAAAUGCGUUGAGAUCGGAAGGAACGCCCGUGGCGAAAGCGAGCCCCUGGACGUCAUCUGACACUGAGACGCGAAAGCCAGGGGAGCGAACGGGG
rnacentral:rRNA from 1 species